rnacentral:rRNA from 1 species
UACGGGAGGCAGCAGUGGGGAAUAUUGCACAAUGGGCGAAAGCCUGAUGCAGCUAUGCCGCGUGUAUGAAGAAGGCCUUAGGGUUGUAAAGUACUUUCAUCGGGGAGGAAAAAACAAAACUAAUAAUUUUAUUUCUUGACGUUACCCGAAAAAGAAGCACCGGCUAACUCCGUGCCAGCAGCCGCGGUAAUACGGAGGGUGCUAGCGUUAAUCAGAAUUACUGGGCGUAAAGAGCACGUAGGUGGUUUUUUUAAAGUCAGAUGUGAAAUCCCUGGGCUUUAACCUAGGAACUGCAUUUUGAAACUGAAAUACUAGAGUAUCGUAGAGGGAGGUAGAAUUCUAGGUGUAGCGGUGAAAUGCGUAGAUAUCUGGAGGAAUACCUGUGGCGAAAGCGGCCUCCUAAACGAAUACUGACACUGAGGGUGCGAAAGCGUGGGGAGCAAACGAGGGAUUAGAUACC